GAGGGUAACAGCUCACGUGGUAGAGUGCAUGCUUAGAAUGCAUGAGGUCCUGGGUUCAAUCCCCAGUACCUCCU
rfam:Camelus ferus unplaced genomic scaffold scaffold597, whole genome shotgun sequence.